GAUUGAACGCUGGCGGCAGGCCUAACACAUGCAAGUCGAACGGCAGCACAGAAGAGCUUGCUCUUUGGGUGGCGAGUGGCGGACGGGUGAGUAAUGUCUGGGAAACUGCCCGAUGGAGGGGGAUAACUACUGGAAACGGUAGCUAAUACCGCAUAACGUCGCAAGACCAAAGUGGGGGACCUUCGGGCCUCACACCAUCGGAUGUGCCCAGAUGGGAUUAGCUAGUAGGUGGGGUAAUGGCUCACCUAGGCGACGAUCCCUAGCUGGUCUGAGAGGAUGACCAGCCACACUGGAACUGAGACACGGUCCAGACUCCUACGGGAGGCAGCAGUGGGGAAUAUUGCACAAUGGGCGCAAGCCUGAUGCAGCCAUGCCGCGUGUAUGAAGAAGGCCUUCGGGUUGUAAAGUACUUUCAGCGGGGAGGAAGGCGGUGAGGUUAAUAACCUCGCCGAUUGACGUUACCCGCAGAAGAAGCACCGGCUAACUCCGUGCCAGCAGCCGCGGUAAUACGGAGGGUGCAAGCGUUAAUCGGAAUUACUGGGCGUAAAGCGCACGCAGGCGGUCUGUUAAGUCAGAUGUGAAAUCCCCGGGCUUAACCUGGGAACUGCAUUUGAAACUGGCAGGCUUGAGUCUCGUAGAGGGGGGUAGAAUUCCAGGUGUAGCGGUGAAAUGCGUAGAGAUCUGGAGGAAUACCGGUGGCGAAGGCGGCCCCCUGGACGAAGACUGACGCUCAGGUGCGAAAGCGUGGGGGAGCAAACAGGAUUAGAUACCCUGGUAGUCCACGCCGUAAACGAUGUCGACUUGGAGGUUGUGCCCUUGAGGCGUGGCUUCCGGAGCUAACGCGUUAAGUCGACCGCCUGGGGAGUACGGCCGCAAGGUUAAAACUCAAAUGAAUUGACGGGGGCCCGCACAAGCGGUGGAGCAUGUGGUUUAAUUCGAUGCAACGCGAAGAACCUUACCUGGCCUUGACAUCCAGAGAACUUAGCAGAGAUGCUUUGGUGCCUUCGGGAACUCUGAGACAGGUGCUGCAUGGCUGUCGUCAGCUCGUGUUGUGAAAUGUUGGGUUAAGUCCCGCAACGAGCGCAACCCUUAUCCUUUGUUGCCAGCGGCUCGGCCGGGAACUCAAAGGAGACUGCCGGUGAUAAACCGGAGGAAGGUGGGGAUGACGUCAAGUCAUCAUGGCCCUUACGGCCAGGGCUACACACGUGCUACAAUGGCGCAUACAAAGAGAAGCGACCUCGCGAGAGCAAGCGGACCUCACAAAGUGCGUCGUAGUCCGGAUUGGAGUCUGCAACUCGACUCCAUGAAGUCGGAAUCGCUAGUAAUCGUAGAUCAGAAUGCUACGGUGAAUACGUUCCCGGGCCUUGUACACAC
rnacentral:rRNA from 1 species